rnacentral:rRNA from 1 species
UACGUAGGGGGCUAGCGUUGUCCGGAAUCAUUGGGCGUAAAGAGCGUGUAGGCGGCCCGGUAAGUCCGCUGUGAAAGUCGGGGGCUCAACCCUCGAAUGCCGGUGGAUACUGUCGGGCUAGAGUGCGGAAGAGGUGAGUGGAACUCCGAGUGUAGAGGUGAAAUUCGUAGAUAUCUGGAGGAACACCGGUGGCGAAGGCGACAUCCUGGACCGGUAUUGACGCUGAGGCGCGAAAGCCAGGGGAGCAAGCGGG